GGACUGCCAACUCCGGCCGCGGCCCGCCGGCGGUACACUAAACUCUGUUUUAUUUUAUAUUCUGAGCGUCUUAUUUUAAUAAGUUAAAACUUUCAACAACGGAUCUCUUGGUUCUGGCAUCGAUGAAGAACGCAGCGAAAUGCGAUAAGUAAUGUGAAUUGCAGAAUUCAGUGAAUCAUCGAAUCUUUGAACGCACAUUGCGCCCAUCAGUAUUCUGGUGGGCAUGCCUGUUCGAGCGUCAUUUCAACCCUUAAGCCUAGCUUAGUGUUGGGAAUCUGCUGUACUGCAGUUCCUUAAAGACAGUGGCGGAGCGGCGGUAGUCCUCUGAGCGUAGUAAUUUAUUUCUCGCUUUUGUCAGGCUCUGUCCUCCCGCCAUAAAACCCCCAAUUUUUUAGUGGUUGACCUCGGAUCAGGUAGGAAUACCCGCUGAACUUAAGCA
rnacentral:rRNA from 1 species